rnacentral:rRNA from 1 species
CUUACACAUGCAAGUCGAACGGCAGCGCGGGGCAACCUGGCGGCGAGUGGCGAACGGNUGAGUAAUAUAUCGGAACGUGCCCUGGAGUGGGGGAUAACGCAGCGAAAGUUGCGCUAAUACCGCAUACGAUCUAAGGAUGAAAGCGGGGGAUUCGCAAGAACCUCGUGCUCCUGGAGCGGCCGAUAUCUGAUUAGCUAGUUGGUGGGGUAAAGGCCUACCAAGGCAUCGAUCAGUAGCUGGUCUGAGAGGACGACCAGCCACACUGGAACUGAGACACGGUCCAGACUCCUACGGGAGGCAGCAGUGGGGAAUUUUGGACAAUGGGCGAAAGCCUGAUCCAGCAAUGCCGCGUGAGUGAAGAGGGCCUUCGGGUUGUAAAGCUCUUUUGUCAGGGAAGAAACGGUGAAGGCUAAUAUCCUUUGCUAAUGACGGUACCUGAAGAAUAAGCACCGGCUAACUACGUGCCAGCAGCCGCGGUAAUACGUAGGGUGCAAGCGUUAAUCGGAAUUACUGGGCGUAAAGCGUGCGCAGGCGGUUUUGUAAGUCUGUCGUGAAAUCCCCGGGCUCAACCUGGGAAUUGCGAUGGAGACUGCAAGGCUAGAAUCUGGCAGAGGGGGGUAGAAUUCCACGUGUAGCAGUGAAAUGCGUAGAGAUGUGGAGGAACACCGAUGGCGAAGGCGGCCCCCUGGGUCAAGAUUGACGCUCAUGCACGAAAGCGUGGGGAGCAAACAGGAUUAGAUACCCUGGUAGUCCACGCCCUAAACGAUGUCUACUAGU